ACCCCUGUAGUUCAACUGGAUAGAACACAAGCCUCCUAAGCUUGGAAUCCUGGUUCGAGUCCAGGCAGGGGUA
rnacentral:tRNA from 1 species